rnacentral:sRNA from 2 species
CCGGGUCGAUUGCCUAACUCUGCCGCUGCCGGGGAUCCGUUCGCAGAAUUCGUCCGGCAGAGACGGGGAAACCACGUUUGGCCUGGUCCAGGCCUUGGGGUGAAGCCGCGCUACUGCAUCUGCAGGAGUUGCGGCCGGGUGACUCCCAUCCGAAUCCGACAGCUAACCCCGCAGGCAUUGGGAGAGGCUAC